GGAUAUGAGGGCGAUCUGACUGUGACAUCUGUCACCCCAUUGAUCGCCAGAGUUGAUUUGGUUGAUCUGGCUGACUAGGCAGGUGUCCCCAUCUUCCCUUACUGUUCCGUGUGCAUCCCUCCCAAAGCUGUGUGCUCAGUGGAGGAGGACGACCUUCCCCCAUAGAGGAGGACAGAGGAGGACGUUUCUUUGGUCAAGGGUAUAAGAGUACCUGAGCUCCCCUGCUAACAAACUCUCAAGAUCCAUUUGUAGGAGAUCUUCCAAGACUCCAGACACAUCCAAAUGAGGCAUGGCAUGUGGCCGUCGGCCUCUCUUA
ensembl:misc_RNA 7SK 7SK RNA